rnacentral:lncRNA from 1 species
AAGUACUCGCCCGAACAAUUUUUCGGUGCUCGCACGGAUUCUACCGUUUCCAGGUAUGCGCCGGGAUUUAUGAUUUUUUCGGUAUUCGCCUGGAUUCUACAAUUUUCAUUUAGUCACACUGAUUCAACCCUUUUCCGGUACUCGCCCGAACAGUUUUUCGUUACUCGCACGGAUUCUACCAUUUCCCGGUAUUCGUUGGGAUUUUACGAUUUUUCGUUAUUCGCUCGGAUUCUACCAUUUUCAUUUAGUCACACUGAUUCAACCCUUUUCCGGUAGUCGC